rfam:Aedes aegypti strain Liverpool supercont1.62 genomic scaffold, whole genome shotgun sequence.
UGCUCAGCAACUCCUAUCCCUACCUCCUCGCGGUACUGGCCAAGGUACGAGUAACCUUAGGGAAGAUCGGGUUGCCAACCCCGGUGGGAACUCGUAUGCUGACAGGAAAGG